CAGCCGCCACGGGAAUACGAAGGGUGCAAGCGUUAAUCGGAAUUACUGGGCGUAAAGCGUGCGUAGGCGGUGAGUUAAGUCUGUUGUGAAAUCCCCGGGCUCAACCUGGGAAUGGCAAUGGAUACUGGCAAGCUAGAGUGUGUCAGAGGAUGGUGGAAUUCCCGGUGUAGCGGUGAAAUGCGUAGAGACCGGGAGGAACAUCAGUGGCGAAGGCGGCCAUCUGGGACAACACUGACGCUGAGGCACGAAAGCGUGGGGAGCAAACAGGAUUAGAUACCCCUGUAGUCCCUGUCUCUUAUAA
rnacentral:rRNA from 1 species